GAAAACAAUGGUAAGCCGCCUGAAUAAACUCCCCGUACCGGACUAAUUCUCGCCGGAGAUUUUCGUCCAAUGGAUCAAGAAGUCCUAACCAAUCUUUACAACCAUGAUACUCCUUCCACCUACUACCAAGAUUGUUCCUUGGUGAGUACUCCAUUGAUUUCGAUGACAACAUUCGAUGUAAUCUAAUCAAAUGCCUAGGUGACAUUUCUUCAGCUGCUUUCAUCUCAGGCCAAAUUCUGGACAAAUUUAGCCCUUCCAACAAGUUCCUUCCCCUGUUUUCCUCUGUUUUUUCCCCCUGUUUUCCUCUGUUUUCCCCUGUUUUCCCCUGUUUUUGAAU
rnacentral:misc_RNA from 1 species